CGCUUUGCGCAGUGGCAGUAUAGUAGCCAAUGAGGUUUAUCCGAGGCGCGAUUAUUGCUAACUUUUCCCAAUACCCCGCUAUGACGGCUUGAAAUACAGCCGGCAAUGGCAAUGUUUGACAGUCUCCUCGGAGA
rnacentral:snRNA from 1 species